UACAGAGGGUGCGAGCGUUAAUCGGAAUUACUGGGCGUAAAGGGCUCGUAGGCGGCCAACUAAGUCGGAUGUGAAAUCCCCAGGCUCAACCUGGGAACUGCAUCCGAUACUGGAUGGCUUGAAUCCGGGAGAGGGAUGCAGAAUUCCAGGUGGAGCGGUGAAAUGCGUAGAUAUCGUUUGGAACGCCAAUGGUGAAAACAGACAGCUGGGAGUGUGCUGACGCUGAGACACGAAAGCCAGGGGAGCGAACGGG
rnacentral:rRNA from 1 species